rnacentral:rRNA from 1 species
AUUGAACGCUGGCGGCAGGCCUAACACAUGCAAGUCGAGCGGAUGAGGGGAGCUUGCUCCUCGAUUCAGCGGCGGACGGGUGAGUAAUGCCUAGGAAUCUGCCUAGUAGUGGGGGACAACGUUUCGAAAGGAACGCUAAUACCGCAUACGUCCUACGGGAGAAAGUGGGGGAUCUUCGGACCUCACGCUAUUAGAUGAGCCUAGGUCGGAUUAGCUAGUUGGUAGGGUAAAGGCCUACCAAGGCGACGAUCCGUAACUGGUCUGAGAGGAUGAUCAGUCACACUGGAACUGAGACACGGUCCAGACUCCUACGGGAGGCAGCAGUGAGGAAUAUUGGACAAUGGGCGAAAGCCUGAUCCAGCCAUGCCGCGUGUGUGAAGAAGGCCUUCGGGUCGUAAAGCACUUUAAGUUGGGAGGAAGGGCUCAUAGCGAAUACCUGUGAGUUUUGACGUUACCAACAGAAUAAGCACCGGCUAACUUCGUGCCAGCCGCCGCAGUAAAAC